UACGGAGAAUCCAAGCGUUACCCGGAAUUACUGGGCGUAAAGAGUUGCGUAGGCGGUAAUUUAAGUGGGAUGCGAAAUCCUGUGGCUCAACCACAGGUUGGUAUUCCAAACUGAAUAACUAGAGGAUGGUAGAGGCAAGUGGGAUUGCUGGUGUAGGAGUGAUAUCCGUAGAUACCAGCAGGAACACCCAUGGCGAAGGCAGCUUGCUGGGCCAUUCCUGACGCUGAGGCACGAAAGCGUGGGGAGCGAACCGG
rnacentral:misc_RNA from 1 species